AGCAGCAGGCCGUAGCCUUGCCAUUUGCAACCACACUUGGAUGCUCUUCUGAGCCUGCUCCCUCCAGGACAGAACGGGGAGUGUCACCAGGAUCCAAAUGGCUACAGGAACAGACUCUGAGAAACCAUGUAAAUGUCCCUAAUGGAUGCACGGCUGGCAAGCUGGUGGGGUGAGGGCAGUUUCCAGUGCAUCAUCUCCAGUCUCGCGGAGCCACACACACAUGGUGUUGGGCAGAGAUGGACUUCCACUUGACCCUGACCACUGACAUCUGAUCUUUUGCAUCUGUGAGAGCAUGUGCUUAACACUUGUCAGCCGCACUUGCUUGAAGGAAGGGAAGUGGGGACAGGAGGAGAUAAAGACGACACCAUUCCAUAAACAGGCCUCUGCAUCUUCUUGCCAACCUUCCCUCUUCCCGGAGGCCCCCUGGGACUUCCGUCAAAACCUACCCAAGCGUGUGCCCAGCUCCCAGCUCCGGGCCAGGCCGCCAGUGCCGUGAUGAGCCAGAACCGGUCUCUGUGCACGGCCCGCAAAGACCCCGCCUGGGAGCCCUCUGGGCUUGUCGCGAGGCCCACGCUCACGGUCUCUUUCCAACCUCUCCUUGAGAGCUGGGGACACAACCUUUUGAGUGGCAUGUACGGAUUCUUUUCUGUGCUGGAGACAAUCCACGCACCUGUCACAGUUGCAAAGCAGCUUCCCCACAACGUUCUAUACCUGAACUAUGGCAAAGGUCACACGACUCUACACGAUUAUGACAGAGAGUCACCCCACAGUAUACUCAGAAUGGGUGAAUUUUAUGGGAUGCAAACUAUACCUCAAUAAAGCCGUCUCAAGAAAAAGUCAGCGUCCACCUCACCUGGAUGUUUCUGUUCAGCGCUGGACCUGAAGUGGGGGCCUGUGUUGUCUCUACAUGUGGACAACCUCUUGGCCCCUGUGGUUCAGAGGCUGGAACAGAAACUCUGCCGAGGGGGAGGCUGGAGCCAGGGUUCCAGUGUGAGGAGGAACCUGGUGAAGGGGCUUCCAGGGGACAGGUUUCCCGCCAGCAGCAGGAAGAGAGGACACUGACAGGGAAAAGAAGGGGCACCCAG